rnacentral:rRNA from 1 species
UACGUAGGGCGCAAGCGUUGUCCGGAAUUAUUGGGCGUAAAGAGCUCGUAGGCGGUUUGUCGCGUCUGCUGUGAAAACCCGCGGCUUAACUGCGGGCUUGCGGUUGAUACGGGCGGGCUAGAGUUCGGUAGGGGAGACUGGAAUUCCUGGUGUAGCGGUGAAAUGCGCAGAUAUCAGGAGGAACACCGGUGGCGAAGGCGGGUCUCUGGGCCGAUACUGACGCUGAGGAGCGAAAGCGUGGGGAGCGAACAGG